CAUCACCGUACGGCGAAGCCUGCGUGACGUCACCGUACGGCGCAUCCCAUCGCCUCUCUGCAAGUCAGGCUUGGCUCUUGUUUCGCUGAGGAAGAAAACGAAAAGCAUUUCACCUACACAGAUGGUUAUUUGGACAGAAUUGGAAGGCCAGAGGAAUGAUUUGGGAAUGCUGAAGAUGACUGAUUCUUUCUGAGGUUGGCUAAAAUUUGAGCAGUCAACCAUCUCCCCUCCACAUCAGAUGACUAUGUGCUGUGGUUUUUGCACCUGAUCUAUCAGGAAAAUCCUGUGAUUCAAUGGGGAUGACAGGUAAACAGGUAUUUGGUGCUGAGCAGCCUGCAUUCUACAGUUUUUGGGGUGCAGUUACUGUGAGCUACUCUCACAACUGCCUGCCUUUUACAACUGCACUGGACAACGCUGCCAGUCCGCACUGCUACCGAUGCCAGGAGAGAGUCAUCACUCAAGGCAACUGAAAUUACAGGCAAACAAGUUUGCAGAAGUCCUUGAGGAGGCUGAUUUCCUUCCGAGAAAUAAUAAAUGCACCAUUAAUGCCAUCUCUGAAGUCAUUCUGAACAUGCUCCUGUUUGAAGUUCUCCAGUACAUAU